rnacentral:rRNA from 1 species
CACCAGGUUGAUUCUGCCUGACGUAGACGCUAUACUCUAAGAUUAACCCAUGCAUGUUUAUUGAAUAUAAAGAAAAGACGACCAGCACAGUAACUCUUAUUUGAUUUAAUGAAUUAGGAUUCUAACUAUGUUAAAUAAUAGGUACCAAUAAUCCAAUAAGAAUAAGAUCUAUCAGUUAGUUGUUAAGGUAAUGGCUUAACAAGACUAUGACGGAUAACGGUAUUACUUUGUAAUAUUCCGGAGAAGGAGCCUGAGAGAUUGCUACUAAGUCUAAGGAUUGCAGCAGGGGCGAAACUUGACCUAUGAUAUUAUAUUGAGGCAGUUAUGAGUAGUAUUUUAUAAUUAUUGUAGUAUUGUAAGUACAUAUUCCAAGAUAAAUCGGAGGGCAAAUCGAGUGCCAGCAGCCGCGGUAAUACUUGUUCCGAUAGUGUGUAUGAUGAUUGAUGCAGUUAAAAAGUCUGUAGUUUAUUUAUAAUAAGCAUUGUAAGGUAUACUGUAUGGUUAGGAGAGAGAUGAAAUGUGAUAACCCUAACUGGAUGAACAGAAGCGAAAGCUGUAUACUUAAAUGUAUUAUUAGAACAAGGACGUAAGCUAGAGGAUCGAAGAUGAUUAGAUACCAUUGUAGUUCUAGCAGUAAACUAUGUUGAAUCAUAGAUAUAUUUUGAUAUAUAUUUAUGUAGAGAAAUUAAGAUUAUAUUGACUCUGGGGAUAGUAUGAUCGCAAGAUUGAAAAUUAAAGAAAUUGACGGAAGAAUACCACAAGGAGUGGAUUGUGCGGCUUAAUUUGACUCAACGCGGGGUAAUUUACCAGGUAUAACAUGGUAUAAUAUUUUAUCAUGAUAGUGGUGCAUGGCCGUUUCCAAUGGAUGCUGUGAAGUAAUGAUUAAUUUCAACAAGAUGUGAGACCCUUAUUUAGACAGAUGUAGUGAUACAUAUGAAGGAGAGGAUUAAAACAGGUCCGUUAUGCCCUAAGAUAAUCUGGGUUGCACGCGCAAUACAAUAAUAUUUGAUAUUAUAAGGGAUAAUAUAAUGUAAGAUAUAUUUGAACAUGGAAUUGCUAGUAAAUUUUAUUUAAUAAGUAGAAUUGAAUGAGUCCCUGUUCUUUGUACACACCGCCCGUCG